AUGUGGGAAGACUGCUUGCCUCAUAUUGAGUUUGCUUAUAAUCGUUCAUUGCAUUCUACUACUAAGAUGUGCCCUUUUGAAAUUGUGUAUGGUUUCCUACCUCGUGCACCUAUUGAUUUGUUGCCUCUUCCAUCUUCGGAGAAGGUUAAUUUUGAUGCUAAACAACGUGCUGAAUUGAUCUUAAAAAUGCAUGAGUUAACUAAGGAAAACAUUGAGCGUAUGAAUGCUAAAUAUAAACUUGCUGGAGAUAAGGGUAGAAAACAUGUUGUGUUUGCACCUGGAGAUCUUGUUUGGUUACAUUUGCGUAAGGAUAGAUUUCCUGAUUUGCGCAAAUCAAAGCUAAUGCCACGUGCUGAUGGUCCUUUUAAGGUGUUAGAGAAAAUAAAUGAUAAUGCAUAUAAACUUGAGCUGCCUGCAGAUUUUGGGGUUAGUCCCACUUUUAAUAUUGCAGAUUUGAAGCCUUAUUUGGGUGAGGAAGAUGAGCUUCCGUCGAGGACGACUUCAUUUCAAGAAGGGGAGGAUGAUGAGGACAUCAAUACAAUUAUUACACCCACAGGCCCUGCUGCUAUACAUACUGGACCAAUUACUAGAGCUCGCGCACGCCAAUUAAAUUACCAGGAAACAGACCCUCGUGGUCAGGUUGAUCGUGCUCCGGCGUGGUCGAUAACCUCUCGGAGUUGGUUUAGCGAUUGCUAA
rnacentral:rRNA from 1 species